rnacentral:rRNA from 1 species
CCCUUAGAUGUCCUGGGCUGCACGCGCGCUACACUGACGAACUCAACGAGCUUAUCACCUUGGCAGAGAUGUCUGGGUAAUCUUUUGAAAGUUCGUCGUGCUGGGGAUAGAUGAUUGUAAUUAUUCGUCUUGAACGAGGAAUUCCUAGUAAGUGUGAGUCAUCGGCUCGCGCUGAUUACGUCCCUGCCCUUUGUACACACCGCCCGUCGCUCCUACCGAUUGAAUGGUCCGGUGAGGUUCUCGGAUUUUUUCUGUUGUUUGGUUCGCUAAACGAUUGAAGAGAGAAGUUACCCAAACCUUACCAUUUAGAGGAAGGAGAAGUCGUAACA